ACACAUGCAAGUCGAACGAGAGAGAAGGAGCUUGCUUCUUCGAUCGAGUGGCGAACGGGUGAGUAACGCGUGAGGAACCUGCCUCAAAGAGGGGGACAACAGUUGGAAACGACUGCUAAUACCGCAUAAGCCCACGGAUCGGCAUCGAUCUGAGGGAAAAGGAGCAAUCCGCUUUGAGAUGGCCUCGCGUCCGAUUAGCUAGUUGGUGAGGUAACGGCCCACCAAGGCGACGAUCGGUAGCCGGACUGAGAGGUUGAACGGCCACAUUGGGACUGAGACACGGCCCAGACUCCUACGGGAGGCAGCAGUGGGGAAUAUUGCACAAUGGGGGAAACCCUGAUGCAGCGACGCCGCGUGGAGGAAGAAGGUCUUCGGAUUGUAAACUCCUGUUGUUGAGGAAGAUAAUGACGGUACUCAACAAGGAAGUGACGGCUAACUACGUGCCAGCAGCCGCGGUAAAACGUAGGUCACAAGCGUUGUCCGGAAUUACUGGGUGUAAAGGGAGCGCAGGCGGGAAGACAAGUUGGAAGUGAAAUCUAUGGGCUCAACC
rnacentral:rRNA from 1 species